UACGUAGGGGGCAAGCGUUGUCCGGAAUUACUGGGUGUAAAGGGAGUGUAGGCGGGUAUUUAAGUCAGAUGUGAAACCCAUGAGCUCAACUCAUGGACUGCAUUUGAAACUGGAUAUCUUGAGUGCAGGAGAGGAAAGUGGAAUUCCACGUGUAGCGGUGAAAUGCGUAGAGAUGUGGAGGAACACCAGUGGCGAAGGCGACUUUCUGGACUGUAACUGACGCUGAGGCUCGAAAGUGUGGGGAGCAAACAGG
rnacentral:rRNA from 1 species